GAUGAAGAACGUAGCGAAAUGCGAUAAGUAAUGCGAAUUGCAGAAUCCGUGAGUCAUCGAAUCUUUGAACGCACAUUGCGCCCGCCAGUAUUCUGGCGGGCAUGCCUGUUCGAGCGUCAUUUCAACCCUCAAGCACAGCUUGGUGUUGGGACUCGCGUUAAUUCGCGUUCCCCAAAUUGAUUGGCGGUCACGUCGAGCUUCCAUAGCGUAGUAGUAAAACCCUCGUUACUGGUAAUCGUCGCGGCCACGCCGUUAAACCCCAACUUCUGAAUGUUGACCUCGGAUCAGGUAGAAAUACCCGCUGAACUUAAGCAUAUCAAUAAGCGGAGGA
rnacentral:misc_RNA from 1 species